rnacentral:rRNA from 1 species
GACGAACGCUGGCGGCGUGCCUAAUACAUGCAAGUUGAGCGAUGAAGAUUGGUGCUUGCACCAAUUUGAAGAGCAGCGAACGGGUGAGUAACGCGUGGGGAAUCUGCCUUUGAGCGGGGGACAACAUUUGGAAACGAAUGCUAAUACCGCAUAACAACUUUAAACAUAAGUUUUAAGUUUGAAAGAUGCAAUUGCAUCACUCAAAGAUGAUCCCGCGUUGUAUUAGCUAGUUGGUGAGGUAAAGGCUCACCAAGGCGAUGAUACAUAGCCGACCUGAGAGGGUGAUCGGCCACAUUGGGACUGAGACACGGCCCAAACUCCUACGGGAGGCAGCAGUAGGGAAACUUCGGCAAUGGACGAAAGUCUGACCGAGCAACGCCGCGUGAGUGAAGAAGGUUUUCGGAUCGUAAAACUCUGUUGGUAGAGAAGAACGUUGGUGAGAGUGGAAAGCUCAUCAAGUGACGGUAACUACCCAGAAAGGGACGGCUAACUACGUG